UACGGAGGAUGCGAGCGUUAUCCGGAUUUAUUGGGCUUAAAGGGCGCGUAGGCGGGAUGCCAAGUCAGCGGUAAAAAUGCGGUGCUCAACGCCGUCGAGCCGUUGAAACUGGCGUUCUUGAGUGGGCGAGAAGUAUGCGGAAUGCGUGGUGUAGCGGUGAAAUGCAUAGAUAUCACGCAGAACUCCGAUUGCGAAGGCAGCAUACCGGCGCCCUACUGACGCUGAGGCACGAAAGCGUGGGUAUCGAACAGG
rnacentral:rRNA from 1 species